rnacentral:lncRNA from 1 species
AGGGGUUGGGGGUGGGGGAACGACUAACUGCUAAUGAGACAAUGGGGUGGUGAAAACUGUUCCGAGACUGUGGUGAUGGGUCCACAGCUUUGUAAAUACUAAAAGCCAUUGAAUUACACACUUUAAUGGACAAACUUUAUGGAAUGUAAAUUAUAUCUCAAGAAAUCUGUUAAAAAUGGGAAGAAAAGUGGGGUCCAAAAAGACCAUUCCCAUAAUAACCAUACUUCACAAUUAGAGAAGGAAUAUCCUAGUUUUAAGUUCCUGGUCUUUUCCUGCAUAAAGGCCCAAUUUUAAGCUGCUCAGCCAAAAUGGCUCCCUUUCUCCUCCCAAACCGGUGGGCUUUGUUGAAAGCACAUCCAGCCCAGAAGACAGCCAGAGCAAUGCUGGUUGGCAGACACUCUGCUCUGGCAAAUGUAAUUAAAGGCAACAGCAAUUGCCCCACCUGAUGAGAAGACAGUCUUUUCACUCAACAUUGAGAAGGAUCAAGGAGAAGAGUACUAAGCUUGGAGUCAGAAUACCCAGAGGUUCUACACCAGCUCUCCCACUUUCUAGCUGUGGGAUGUCCAACAAGUCCCUUCACCUCUCUGAACUGCAGUCCCCAGCAAGGAUAACAAUGCUGUCCUACAGCGGCCCUUGAUGACUUGUUAUGAGGAUCAGGCCAAUGAUGUGAAAGUCCUUUUCAAAUUAUUCACGCUUAUGUAAAACAAGAGUUUUUGUUUGUUUGUUUGUUUAAAGAUUGGCACCUGCGCUAACAUCUGUUGCCACUCUUUUUUUUCUUCUUCUUCUCCCCGAAGUCCCCCAGUACAUCGCUGUAUAUUCUAGUCGCAGCUCCUUCUAGUUGUGGCAUGUGGGACGCCACCUUAGCAUGGCUUGAUGAGCGGUGCCAUGCCCACGCCCAGGAUCCGAACCGGUGAAACCCUGGGCUGUCGAAGUGGAGCGCGUGAACUUAACCACUCAGCCGCGGGGCCGGCCCGGGAGUCAUUCUCAAUAAUAGCGAAUUAAUAAAUUUGUUCUUACUAAAUCCAGAUGUUCCUUUAAGAGGUCAGCAUGGAAUGAGGCACAUCUCUGGGUCUCAGGCUCUUGCAUACAUUUACAGAUGACUGUGAUAAAUAUUUUUAUGUCUGUGCUGCGUGGGGACCAGCUCCUCUACUAGCCUGGGAUAUCUGUUCUUUCGUCUCUGCUAUGUUCAAAGCAGGGCCCCCAGGGCCAUGCAGAUGAGGUCUCUGUUCUCAAAGACAUUCCCUCUUUCACUGUUCUGACAGACUGCAGCCUGUCUGCCAUGCAGAUGGGAGAGCUGCGCCCUCCUGCAGGCGUGGGUGGUGAUUAAAAUGGCCUGUGAGGAGCUUGAGUGGUGCUGAGUGUUGUUUCUCCUCUCAGUGCCACUCUGUUUGGCCUUGGAGUGGUCUUGCUCAGUCUCUGUGUCACUGGUUUUCAAUCUGUGAUUGGGGAUGGCAAGCCAAACCUUGUUAGAGAUCGUGCUGGGGCUGGCUGACCUUCCCCAAGCCAGGAUAAUCUCUCUCCCUGGCAACAGGCAGGGGCAGCAAGGGACAGUGACAGAUUGUGAAAUCCUGGGCCUGGGCUUUCUAGAAUUACUUAAAAAGAGAAAAUAGUCACAAUACCUUGCAUUUGUAUAGUGCUUUUUAAAAAAAAGAAAGCCGUCUUUAAAAUUCUUCAAGGAGAAGGCAGCUUUAGAAUUGUCUGGCAGAGAGGAUACCAGGUGGGUAAGAAAUGUAUUGUCUUAUUCUUAGCCACUCAAUAACACUGAGAGUGUUAGGAGAAAUCUUUUUUUCUCCCCACAGAUGGUGAUGCAGGGGAAGAGAGAUGUGGAGUGACUUGAUCAAUAUCACACAGCAUUAGGGGCAGAAUUUGACCUAAACUUCUUGACUUUUUUUUGUCAGCCCAAAGCAGGCAGAGGAGAUGAAAAUGAAUGACCUAACAUUUUGCUUUGUCCACCUGAGAUUCUGGCGUGUAGACAGCUCUUCCUGAGUCAGAUGUUGUACUUGGUCCUCUGGGGCGUACAGAAAUAUGCCCCUACUUAUAGGUUGGAAAGCAAUGAGGAAGAGUAGGGGUGAGGUGUGAGAAAAAUUGGCAUCCUCUUGCAAGGUACCUACCUGAGGUGAGGUCACUCAGCCUCUUUAAGCAAGGCAGGACCAGACUCAACAGACAGGGCUAGGUGGGGCUGCUUCAGUUGCCUAGGGAGUCUCAGUAUGGUUUGGGGAUUUAAAGGAAGGGCCUGCAAACUCCGGCCAGUGGGCCAAAUGUGGGCACUCUCUGGUUUUUGUAAAUAAAGUUUUAUUGAAACAC